rnacentral:rRNA from 1 species
CCGUUGGUGAACCAGCGGAGGGAUCAUUACUGAGUUUACGCUCUACAACCCUUUGUGAACAUACCUAUAACUGUUGCUUCGGCGGGCAGGGUCUCCGUGACCCUCCCGGCCUCCCGCCCCCGGGCGGGUCGGCGCCCGCCGGAGGAUAACCAAACUCUGAUUUAACGACGUUUCUUCUGAGUGGUACAAGCAAAUAAUCAAAACUUUUAACAACGGAUCUCUUGGUUCUGGCAUCGAUGAAGAACGCAGCGAAAUGCGAUAAGUAAUGUGAAUUGCAGAAUUCAGUGAAUCAUCGAAUCUUUGAACGCACAUUGCGCCCGCCAGCAUUCUGGCGGGCAUGCCUGUUCGAGCGUCAUUUCAACCCUCAAGCUCUGCUUGGUGUUGGGGCCCUACAGCCGAUGUAGGCCCUCAAAGGUAGUGGCGGACCCUCCCGGAGCCUCCUUUGCGUAGUAACUUUACGUCUCGCACUGGGAUCCGGAGGGACUCUUGCCGUAAAACCCCCAAUUCUCCAAAGGUUGACCUCGGAUCAGGUAGGAAUACCCGCUGAACUUAAGCA